UACGAAGGGGGCUAGCGUUGUUCGGAUUUACUGGGCGUAAGCGCACGUAGGCGGAUUGUUAAGUCAGGGGUGAAAUCCUGGAGCUCAACUCCAGAACUGCCUUUGAUACUGGCAAUCUAGAGUCCGGAAGAGGUGAGUGGAGCUCCUAGUGUAGAGGUGGAAUUCGUAGAUAUUAGGAAGAACACCAGUGGCGAAGGCGGCUCACUGGUCCGGUACUGACGCUGAGGUGCGAAAGCGUGGGGAGCAAACAGG
rnacentral:rRNA from 1 species